GCGUGGGUGGGGUAGUGGUAACCUUAAUCGUUGCCAGCAUUUAAAGCGACCUCGAUUAGCCCCGGGUUCGAUUCCCGGCUCACGCA